AGUGGUAGGAGAUUCAAAUUUGAAUUUGAAGUAAAGGAUUUAGCGGGAUUACACAUCGAUAUAUGUGUGUGGCUUUUGAAAUUGGAGAGCGGACGGAUUUCGUCGUGAAUCGGGGGUCAAAUCGGACGAAACGAAAUGCUAGAUUCGAUGCACCCGUCGUGCCGAACGCAAUGGUGCUGUCGGAUCGAAAAUCCGACGGACGGAUCUCCGGUAAUUGCAAAGUUAUCGCUGAGAGGUCAAAUUGGCAAAACGGUUAAAUCGCGAAAAGAUCUAAUAUUUUAUGUACUGAAUCGCGUGAGAUUGAUUAUCGAGGUGCGUACACGCGUAAUACACGCAUUGUGAGGGACUGGGCAGUAAAUAUUCAGUUUUGGAGGACUUUGGUGCAAAGUAACUUUUGGUAUAUAUAGUGUACCUAGGGUUUCAUGCAUGGAAAACCCUAGACCUAGCUGCCUUGCUACCCCAGUUAGCCCUAGCCGACCUCAGAGCAUCACUGCCCUGCUCGUGCGCAGGCCCCGGCCGCCGACGAGCAACCCCGGCCGCCGGAAGAGCCACCCCGACCUUACUCUCACCUCUUCUCUCCAUCUUG
rnacentral:lncRNA from 1 species